ACACGUCUACAUUAGAUACCCGUGUAGUCCCAGCCGUAAACUAUGCGCGUUAGGUGUAUCGGUGACCACGAGUCACCGAGGUGCCGAAGGGAAACCGUGAAACGUGCCGCCUGGGAAGCACGGUCGCAAGGCUGAAACUUAAAGGAAUUGGCGGGGAGCACCACAACGGGUGGAGCCUGCGGUUUAAUUGGACUCAACGCCGGGAAGCUCACCGGAUAAGACAGCGGAAUGAUUGCCGGGCUGAAGACUCUGCAUGACUAGCUG
rnacentral:rRNA from 1 species